AAUGAAGCCUUGAACUGUGCCGCGCUCGCGCGAAACGCUCGGAGUCUUUUAAGGAAUUAAACAAAACUUUCAACAACGGAUCUCUUGGUUCUGGCAUCGAUGAAGAACGCAGCGAAAUGCGAUAAGUAAUGUGAAUUGCAGAAUUCAGUGAAUCAUCGAAUCUUUGAACGCACAUUGCGCCCCGUGGUAUUCCGCGGGGCAUGCCUGUUCGAGCGUCAUUUCACCACUCAAGCCUAGCUUGGUAUUGGGCGCCGCGGCGAUCUCCAUCGCUGCGCCCUUAAAGUCUCCGGCUGAGCAGUCUGUCUCCGAGCGUUGUGACACAUGUCGCUAGGGAGUGCAGGUCUGCCGCGCCGUUAAAUCUUUAUUCAAGG
rnacentral:sRNA from 1 species